GGCAUGAAAGGGAGAGAGAUAUAGAUCGGGUAAACUCGGCUUUGAAAUCGCACAAAGCCCUCUCUUUGCAGAAAUUCAAAAUCAAUUUCUUUUUAAGCAGAGUGGAGCAGCAGGUUGUGGGGGAAUGGGUUGAAUUUGUGUUUUCGAGGGGAGUUGAGAAGCUGGAGCUAAACUUGGGUUGGCAUGAAAGGCCUGCGCAGAGCGUUGGUGUUGUGCUUGAUGUAGAGAUGAUUAAGAGCAUUGAUGCUUUCAAAUCAUCCCUCAAAGUGUUGUGUGUGAGAUGUAUUGAAGCGAGUGGUGAUGCUAUAUAGAUGUUGCUAUGCCAUUGCAAGUUGUUGGAG
rnacentral:lncRNA from 1 species